rnacentral:snRNA from 1 species
GAACGAUACAGAGAAGAGAGAUUUGCAUGGCCCCUGCAUAAGGGUGUCCAGCAAAUCCUGUGAUGCGUUCCACAUUUAA